rnacentral:rRNA from 1 species
GAUGAACGCUAGCGGCAGGCUUAAUACAUGCAAGUCGAGGGGCAGCACGGGUAGCAAUACCUGGUGGCGACCGGCAAACGGGUGCGGAACACGUACGCAACCUUCCUUUAAGCGGGGAAUAGCCCAGAGAAAUUUGGAUUAAUACCCCAUAAUAUAAUGAGAAAGCAUUUUCUUAUUAUUAAAGAUUUAUCACUUAGAGAUGGGCGUGCGGCUGAUUAGGUAGUUGGCGGAGUAACAGCCCACCAAGCCUUCGAUCAGUAGCUGAUGUGAGAGCAUGAUCAGCCACACGGGCACUGAGACACGGGCCCGACUCCUACGGGAGCAGCAGUAAGGAAUAUUGGUCAAUGGACGAAAGUCUGAACCAGCCAUGCCGCGUGGAGGAUGAAGGUCCUCUGGAUUGUAAAC